rnacentral:misc_RNA from 1 species
GCAAACUUGGUCAUUUAGAGGAAGUAAAAGUCGUAACAAGGUCUCCGUUGGUGAACCAGCGGAGGGAUCAUUAUAGAGUUGCAAAACUCCCACAACCCUUGUGAACAUACCUGUACGUCGUUGCUUCGGCGGGUAGGGCCCCCCCGGGCCCCCCGACCUCCCAGCGAGGUUGCCCGCCGGAGGACCACCUAUAAACUCUUGCAAUUGUGGCCUCUCUGAGUAUAUAACAAAUAAGUUAAAACUUUCAACAACGGAUCUCUUGGUUCUGGCAUCGAUGAAGAACGCAGC